rnacentral:rRNA from 1 species
CAGUAGCCGCGGUAAUACGAAGGGGGCUAGCGUUGUUCGGAAUUACUGGGCGUAAAGGGCGCGUAGGCGGCCAUUCAAGUUAGAUGUGAAAGCCCUGGGCUCAACCUAGGAAUUGCAUUUGAUACUGUUUGGCUUGAGUUCGGGAGAGGUGAGUGGAAUUCCCAGUGUAGAGGUGAAAUUCGUAGAUAUUGGGAAGAACACCAGUGGCGAAGGCGGCUCACUGGACCGACACUGACGCUGAGGCGCGAAAGCGUGGGGAGCAAACAGGAUUAGAUACCCCAGUAGUCCCUGUCUCUUAUAC